rnacentral:rRNA from 1 species
AUUGAACGCUAGCGGGAUGCUUUACAAAUGCAAGUCGAACGAGUGGCGGACGGGUGAGUAAUAUCACGGAACGUGACCAGUAGCGGGGGAUAACUAAUGGAAAGAGUGGCUAAUACCGAAUACGAUUGGAGCGGACACUAUCGGAUUAGCUAGUUGGUGGGGUAAGGGCUCACCACUGCAACGAUCCGUACCUGGGUUGAGAGUACGACCAGCCACAGUGGGACUGAUACACGGCCCAGACUCCUACGGGAGGCAUCAGUGGGGAAUCUUGGACAAUGGGGGAAACCCUGAUCCAGCCAUCCCGCGUGUAUGAGAAGGCCUUCGGGUUGUAAAGUACUUUUGUCAUAGGAGCGGUAUCUGCAGAAUAAGCACCGGCUAACUACGUGCCAGCAGCCGCGGUAAUAC